rnacentral:rRNA from 1 species
AUUGAACGCUGGCGGCAGGCCUAAUACAUGCAAGUCGAACGGUAACAUAAAAGAAGCUUGCUUCUUUUGAUGACGAGUGGCGGACGGGUGAGUAAUAUUUGGGAAACUACCUGAUAGAGGGGGACAACAGUUGGAAACGACUGCUAAUACCGCAUAAAGCCUGAGGGUGAAAGCAGCAAUGCGCUAUCAGAUGUGCCCAAAACGGGAUUAGCUAGUAGGUGAGGUAAAGGCUCACCUAGGCGACGAUCUCUAGCUGGUCUGAGAGGAUGAUCAGCCACAUUGGGACUGAGACACGGCCCAGACUCCUACGGGAGGCAGCAGUAGGGAAUAUUGCACAAUGGAGGAAACUCUGAUGCAGCCAUGCCGCGUGUGUGAAGAAGGCCUUC